UACGUAGGGUGCGAGCGUUUAAUCGGAAUUACUGGGCGUAAAGAGCUCGUAGGCGGUUUGUCGCGUCUGCUGUGAAAACCGGAGGCUCAACCUCCGGCCUGCAGUGGGUACGGGCAAACUAGAGUGCGGUAGGGGAGAUUGGAAUUCCUGGUGUAGCGGUGGAAUGCGCAGAUAUCAGGAGGAACACCGAUGGCGAAGGCAGAUCUCUGGGCCGUAACUGACGCUGAGGAGCGAAAGCAUGGGGAGCGAACAGG
rnacentral:rRNA from 1 species